UACGGAGGGGGCGAGCGUUAUUCGGAAUUAUUGGGCGUAAAGGGCGCGUAGGCGGCCUUGUAAGUCAAAGGUGAAAUCCCUCGGCUCAACUGAGGAACUGCCUUUGAAACUGCAAGGCUUGAGGCCGGGAGGGGUAGCGGAAUUCCCAAUGUAGCGGUGAAAUGCGUAGAUAUUGGGAGGAACACCAGUGGCGAAGGCGGCUACCUGGACCGGUUCUGACGCUGAGGCGCGAAAGCGUGGGUAGCAAACAGG
rnacentral:rRNA from 1 species